rnacentral:lncRNA from 1 species
GACUGAUUUUAUUUUUCCCUUUGGCAGCUCUUUGGCAUCUGAAGCAAGUUACAUUUUUUUUUUUCAAGUUGACCUAAAACAAGAAAAAUUUGUCACAGUAAGGAGUCGUAAGCAAUUUCAUUUUGAAAGAAAGAAAGUUCUGAACUGGAACAAAAGGGGUUUCAUUUAGCUCUUGAACACAUUUUAAGCCUGAAAGUGAUGUUGGAAGGAAACUUGAACAAAUUUAAUAUAUCGUUGUGUAACUAAGAGUUUAACUUUUUUUUUGUUCCUUGGUAGUGGAAAAGCUAACGAUGGGAUCAAGCUGGCUGUGCUGGCAUUUUGAUUUGAUGGAAAACAUUUCUUGGCUCUAAUUUUGAAUGCUUUGUGGCCUCAAGGAGCAACUAAUACAUCAGAGUGACUGGUGGCAGGUGUGUCAGCAACUGAUAGCUUUAGCUGGGCAGCAGCACCCACCUGCCACCCAUGGCGUGGCCUCACCCUGGUGCCUCCAAAAGCUGGUUGCAGGCCUUCAGGUAGGAAACAGCAGCAUCUUUACAGCUGUUCUGCUUCCCCUGAGUUUCCAUGAGGAACCUGAGAGCAGUGUGAGCGUGACGGGCACUUUGCGUUUCCCCCUCCUCCACCCCUCCAGAUAAAGCUGAUUUUUAAUGUGCUCAGCCGUAGGGUUUGACAGGAGUGCAACAUGGCGGAGACCUGAGUCCAGGAGCAACAAAGGCAGCACUGGGCAUUUCAGCCACUGCCUUUGAAACAGGCCUUGCAAAUAAUGGGGUUGGGAAGCCCCACUGUUCAGCCUUCUUUAUAGUGUUAAUAUACUGUCCAGAAAGAAGAGAAGCAAGAAAUUGCUCAGAUUUCAUCUCUCAGAUUUCAUCUCGCAUCUAGAGUGCCGCAACAAAUCAAACUGAAAUGGGCCCCUUCGUGGCUUCGGUGCUGCCAUGCUGAGCUGCCCUGGGCCCCUUCUCCCCCCGCUUUGCUGGAGGUUAUAAUGCUGAGGGAGCACUCGAAGCAGGCUGGUUGGAGGCAAAUGCACAAGUGUCCUGUAAAGGAUGGGCUCUGCUCCGAAAUGAACUGGUUCAUAACAUGUCAUGUUGAGGUUGGAAGAGUCUGCUCUGCUUGGCUGUCCCCAGGACACACCUUCCAUGUUUGAUCACUGCUGUUUGCAAG